GAUGAACGCUAGCUACAGGCUUAACACAUGCAAGUCGAGGGGAAACGACAUCGAAAGCUUGCUUUUGAUGGGCGUCGACCGGUGCACGGGUGAGUAACGCGUAUCCAACCUGCCCAUCACAUGUGAAUAACCUUGCGACAGUAAGACGAAUACCCAAUGAUAUCCCACGAAGGCAUCGGAAUGUGUCUAAAGAUUUAUCGGUGAUGGCGGGGGAUGCGUCUGAUUAGCUUGUUGGCGGUGUAACGGCCCACCAAGGCAACGAUCAGUAGGGGUUCUGAGGGUAGGCUCCCCCAGAGUGGAACUGGGACACGGGCCAAAGAGCUACGGGACGCAGCAGUGAGGGAGAUUGGACAGUGGAAGAGAGCCUGAAGCAGCCAAGUAGCGUGCAGGAAGGCGGCGCUAGGGAUGAUAAACUGCUUUUAUAAGGGAGUAAAGUGGGUUACGUGUGACUUUUUGCAUGUACCUGAUGAAUAAGGACCGGCUAAUUCCGUG
rnacentral:rRNA from 1 species